rnacentral:tRNA from 2 species
GGUCACGUGGCCGAGGGGCUAGGCACAGCUCUGCAAAAGCUGCUACAGCGGUUCGAGUCCGCUCGUGACCUCCA